UGCCCUUAGUACGGCGAGUGAGCGGCAAAAGCUCAAAUUUGAAAUCUGGUACCUUCGGUGCCCGAGUUGUAAUUUGGAGAGGGCAACUUUGGGGCCGUUCCUUGUCUAUGUUCCUUGGAACAGGACGUCAUAGAGGGUGAGAAUCCCGUGUGGCGAGGAGUGCGGUUCUUUGUAAAGUGCCUUCGAAGAGUCGAGUUGUUUGGGAAUGCAGCUCUAAGUGGGUGGUAAAUUCCAUCUAAAGCUAAAUAUUGGCGAGAGACCGAUAGCGAACAAGUACAGUGAUGGAAAGAUGAAAAGAACUUUGAAAAGAGAGUGAAAAAGUACGUGAAAUUGUUGAAAGGGAAGGGCAUUUGAUCAGACAUGGUGUUUUGUGCCCUCUGCUCCUUGUGGGUAGGGGAAUCUCGCAUUUCACUGGGCCAGCAUCAGUUUUGGUGGCAGGAUAAAUCCAUAGGAAUGUAGCUUGCCUCGGUAAGUAUUAUAGCCUGUGGGAAUACUGCCAGCUGGGACUGAGGACUGCGACGUAAGUCAAGGAUGCUGGCAUAAUGGUUAUAUGCCGCCCGUCUUGA
rnacentral:rRNA from 1 species